AGUGAACGCUGGCGGUAGGCCUAACACAUGCAAGUCGAACGGCAGCACAGUAUGAGCUUGCUCUUACGGGUGGCGAGUGGCGGACGGGUGAGGAAUACAUCGGAAUCUACUUUUUCGUGGGGGAUAACGUAGGGAAACUUACGCUAAUACCGCAUACGACCUACGGGUGAAAGCAGGGGAUCUUCGGACCUUGCGCGAUUGAAUGAGCCGAUGUCGGAUUAGCUAGUUGGCGGGGUAGAGGCCCACCAAGGCGACGAUCCGUAGCUGGUCUGAGAGGAUGAUCAGCCACACUGGAACUGAGACACGGUCCAGACUCCUACGGGAGGCAGCAGUGGGGAAUAUUGGACAAUGGGCGCAAGCCUGAUCCAGCCAUACCGCGUGGGUGAAGAAGGCCUUCGGGUUGUAAAGCCCUUUUGUUGGGAAAGAAAAGCAGCAGGUUAAUACCCCGCUGUUCUGACGGUACCCAAAGAAUAAGCACCGGCUAACUUCGUG
rnacentral:rRNA from 1 species